AAUCUACCCUCGAGUCUGGGACAACCUCGGGAAACUGAGGACAAUCCCGGAUAGGCGAUGGACGCUGGAAUGCCUCAUCGCUCAAAGCUCCGGCGCUCGAGGAUGGGACUGCGGCCUAUCAGGCUGUUGGUGGUGUAACGGACCACCAAACCUACGACGGGUAUGGGCAAUGGGAGUUGGAGCCCAGAGAUGGGGACUGAGACAAGGCCCCAGGCCCUACGGGGCGCAGCAGGCGCGAAAACUUCGCAAUGCGCGAAAGCGUGACGAGGGAACCCCAAGUGCCGUUGGUCUUUUGAUCGACGGCUUUUCGGGAGUCUAAGAAGCUUCCAGAAUAAGGGCUGGGCAAGACUGGUGCCAGCCGCCGCGGUAAUACCAGCAGCCCAAGUGGUGGUCGCGUUUAUUGGGCCUAAAGCGCUCGUAGCCGGGCUUGCAAGUCCCUUGUGAAAUCGGACGGCUCAACCGUUCGGCGUGCAAGGGAUACUGCCAGUCUUGGGAUCGGGAGAGGUCGGGGGUACUUCGGGGGUAGCGGUGAAAUGCUGUAAUCCCUGGGGGACCA
rnacentral:rRNA from 1 species